rnacentral:pre_miRNA from 1 species
GUUGAGGGGAAUGUUGGCUGGCUCGAGGCUUUCUCCGAGAGAAGUUCUCUCAACUUAAUAUAUAAGCCAAGAACAAAAGCAAAUCCCUAACAAAGCUUCGGACCAGGCUUCAUUCCCCUCAAA